rnacentral:rRNA from 1 species
CGCUCCCUGUAAGAGAUGGGGAGUCUGACCUGCCCAGUGAUUUAUUUAACGGCCGCGGUACCCUGACCGUGCAAAGGUAGCAUAAUCAUUCGCUUUUUAAUUGAAGGCUUGUAUGAACGGUUUGACGUGGGCUAUGCUGUCUCUAAGAAAAUUCCUAGAAAUUACUUUUUAGGUGAAAAAGCCUAAAUUAAACUAAGGGACGAGAAGACCCCUUUGAGCUUUAGUGACAUGUAAUUAUAAGUUUAUCAUAUAUUGAAUAGUGUUAUAGUUGCUUUAUUUUUAGUGGGGGAAAACAGAGGAGGGAAUUAAGUCUCCUCUUAUUUUAAUUGAUUUGUUAGCUAAUUUUUUAGUUGAUCCGCAUAAUGUGAUUAAAGGAUAAAGUUACCAUGGGGAUAACAGCGUAAUAUCUCCUGGAGAGUUCUUAUUGAAGGGAGGGUUUGCGACCUCGAUGUUGGACUAGGACGUCCUAAGGGUGCAGAAGUUCUUAAGGGUUGGUCUGUUCGACCAUUAAAGUCCUACA